rnacentral:rRNA from 1 species
CAGUGGGGAAUUUUGGACAAUGGGCGCAAGCCUGAUCCAGCGACGCCGCGUGGAGGACGAAGGCCUUCGGGUUGUAAACUCCUUUUGGAGGGGAAGAAUAAAUUGACGGUACCCUCAGAAAAAGCCACGGCUAACUACGUGCCAGCAGCCGCGGUAAUACGUAGGUGGCGAGCGUUACUCGGAAUUACUAGGCGUAAAGCGUAUGUAGGUGGUUAGAUAAGUCUAUGGUGAAAUUUCCUGGCUCAACUGGGAAGGGACAUAGAUACUAUCUGGCUUGAGUGUGGGAGGGGGAGACGGAAUUCCUGGUGUAGCGGUGAAAUGCGUAGAUAUCAGGAGGAACACCGAUGGCGAAAGCAGUCUCCUGGCCCAAUACUGACACUGAGGUACGAAAGCUAGGGUAGCAAACAGGAUUAGAUACCCUGGUAGUCCUAGCUGUAAACGAUGUUCAC